GAUGAACGCUGGCGGCGUGCCUAAUACAUGCAAGUCGAGCGAACAGAUGAGGAGUUUGCCUCUCUGCAGUUAGCGGCGGGCGGGUGAGUAACACGUGGAUAACUGGCCUAUAAGACUGAGAUAACUUCGGGAAACCUGAUAUAAUACACGAUAAGAUAUUGAACGGCAGGGUUCAAUAGAGAAAGACGUAUUUGAUGUCCCUUAUUGAUGGAUCCUCGCCGCAUUAGCUAGUUGGUAAGGUAACGGCUUACCAAGGCUACGAUGCGUAGCCGAUCUGAGAGGGUGAUCAGCCACACUGGAACUGAGACACGGUCCAGACUCCUACGGGAGGCAGCAGUGGGGAAUAUUCGACAAUGGGCGAAAGCCUGACCGAGCAACGCCGCGUGUGUGAAGAAGGUCUUCGGAUUGUAAAGCUCUUUUAUUUGGGAAGAACAACUGUAUGAGAAAAUAUUGCUGUCUUGACGUUACCUACAGAGAAAGCACCGGCUAACUUCGUG
rnacentral:rRNA from 1 species